GACGUAGGGGGCGAGCGUUGUCCGGAAUUACUGGGCGUAAAGCGUGCGCAGGCGGUUUUGUAAGCCAGAUGUGAAAGCCCCGGGCUUAACCUGGGAAUGGCAUUUGGGACUGCAAGGCUUGAGUGCGGCAGAGGAGACUGGAAUUCCCGGUGUAGCAGUGAAAUGCGUAGAUAUCGGGAGGAAUACCGAUGGCGAAGGCAGGUCUCUGGGCUGACACUGACGCUCAUGCACGAAAGCGUGGGGAGCAAACAGG
rnacentral:rRNA from 1 species